GGCAUGUCCGCUUGGUUUCUUUGCACACACAUUUCAUUCUCACGCCUGAUGUCUCUGCCCGAGUGUCUCUUGUGUGCCUGGAGUCAUUGCUGGAGAAAAUCUGAUUGACUAGUAAGCAUUUUUUACCUGCCUCUGGGUCUGUUUGACAAGCAGGGACAGGUAUGUUGUCCACUGUGCUGCGUCUGCUGUCCUGAGCCUGCUUUGGGGCCAUAUCACAGAGACGAAAUAAGUAAAGCAAGCAGGAGAGCUCUUCAGUGCAAGCGAGCUCAAGUAAGAGAUUUAUAGAAAGAAGCCAAGACUGUAGCAUCCCCAAGGAGAGGGAUGAGGAUUAUCGUUGAAUUGGUCAGGUCUUUGCCUUGCAAACAUGACUAGAGUUCAUCUCCAUAGCCAUUGUCGAAAAGCCAGGCAUCAUGACAAGUGCUUAUAGUACCAACUCUGGAGAGGUGCAGACAGAAGAUCUCAGUGGUCAACAGGCCGGCUAGAUUGAUGACUUCUACACCAAAGAGAGAGUGCUUCAAAAAUCAAGGUAGUUGAUACCUGGGGAAUGGUAACUGCAUAUAAAUAUAUAUGCACACAUGUACAUGCAUGCACACACACAAGUGUACCUGCACACAAGUAACACACACACACAACUCAAAGACAAUAAUCCUAAGCACCAGUUUGACACUCAUUCUAUAUUCCCUCAUAUCAAAGAACUUGAAUAAAUGACAAAUGACUUCAGGCUCCACAUAGCAGAGUUUUUCAUUUCUGGAAUAUCUAUGUGUUUACAAAGCCCUUUCAAAAACAUUGUCACCAGAAAGUAAUCACCACAGUGGCAAGUUUGGCCUGGUGUUUAUUAUUUGUUUAGUGCCCUUGGCUCCUCUGAUGGUGUCUGAUACAUAGAACAUCAUCUUUGAUACAUAUUUGGCUAGAUACAGAAAUGAAGGCAUUGGCUCAUGAGGGCUGAUGUUUAUAUUAGUUAUUUUUCUGUGCUGUGAUGAAAUACCAUGACCAAAAGCAAGUUACUGAAGAGUUAGCUUGCUUCAAGGUUCCAGAGGGAAUCUGUAAUGCGGGUAAGAUGUGGCAGCAGGUAGCAGGAAAUUUGCAUACAGGAAACAGAGAACAGGCAAGAAGUAGGACCAGGUUAUGCACCCUCAAAACCUGCAUCUCUUCUUCCAGAAUGUCUUCUUUCAGCUAGGAUCCAUUUUCUAAAGAUUAUAUAACCUCACCAUCAGCAGUACUAGUUGGCCACCAUUUUUUUCUACCUAUUUGAACCCAAUGGGGACAUUUCUCAUUCAAACCACACCAUUUUAUGUUCAUGUUACAGAUCAUGACAACUAAGGUUCAGAUACAGUGGUGACCUAACUGCACUACAGCCACAAAACCAUCUUGAGCUCAGGUGCCCUGAGUCUUGUGUAAGGGUUUUGUGAGAUUAGCUUUCUACUUUGAGUGGAUCUCUUUGUCUAAAAGUUGGUGGCCUUCUCACCAGAAACUGAGCAUGUGUCUGUGCAUCUCUGGUCUUUCUCAGCUGCUUAUCUCAGUAGAGUCAGACUCAGGGAAGCAGAAUGGUCCAGAUGACAAGAAUGUAGUUUUGUGUGUUUGUGUGUCUACCGUAUGGCAUAUCUCUUUUCCUUUUGUAUUUAUAACUUUUCAUGUUGUUGUUGACCAAACAUCCUUUAAAAGCAGCUUAAACAAAGGAGGGUUUCUUUUGGCUCACAGUUCAAGAGUACAGUCUAUCAUGAUGAGGAAGUUGUGGAUGCAAGGGCAUUGUCAUAUCAUGUCACAUCCAGUCAGGUGGCAGAGAGCAGAGAAUGCUUGUUCUCAGAGGACUUUCUUUGCUUUGUUCAGUCUGAGACACCAGCCUCUGUCACGGUGCUGGCCCAUCAGGGUGGGUCUUUAUUGCUCUAUUAAGUUAUGGAAAUACCCUCAUAGAUGUACUCAGAGGAGUGUUUCCAUGGUGAUAUUAAAAACCAUAAAGCUGAUGAUGAAGAUUAAGCACCACAUCUUCUGUGGGUUCCUCAGGUCUCUGCAAUACUUCCACUACAUGGAUGCCCUCUCUUUGUCCCUCACCCCUUUCUUGCCUCAGAUGAGACCAAAGCUAUGUUGAGUGGCCAGGAACAUUCUAGCAUCAGCAGCUUCUCACACUUCCUUUCUCAGGGUUACUUGCUGUUUUAGAGCAUCCUCAACAGAGAAAACCAUUCAGAAGUGUGAUGGCUGAAUUUCAGGCCCUGAAAUAAGAGCUAAUCUUGGAGUAAAAGAGUCAUGUGAGUGAGGACCGUGAGGACCGUGUGUGUGUGUGUGUGUGUGUGUGUGUGUGUGUGUGUGGUGUACAUGUGGAGGCCAGAAGUUGUUGCUGACUGUAUUCCUCAAUGAGUUACCACCUUGUUUAUUGAGGGAGAAUCUCUCACUGGCCUGAAACAUUUUGAUUCUGCUAGCCUGGCUGCCCACAAGACCCAAGGAUCUUCCUAUGCCAAUCCUUCCAGUGAUGAGAUUUAACUUAGGCACAGCCCCAUCUGGAUUUUGUACCCUGGUGAGUUCUGGCAAUGGAAAUCCAGUGCUCAUGCUUGCACAUAAAGCACUUCAAUGGUACAGCCAGCUCCCCAAAACUAUAUGGGGGACUUAUAGUAGCCUAAGAACAAUGGCCACAGACCAUGCCAUAUUAUGUCCUACACAAGCAGCCCAGUCUGCUGUUGGCAGCUCAGAGGAGGGCCAUUCCUUCAACUCUACCGGACCUCACCUCAUUUCCGUAUAACAAGACCCAAUGCACUGUCGUAUUUUCACAGCAUCCCCCAAAGGCUUACAAAUGGCUUGGCUGGGGUAGCAAUGUUGUGUUUCUAUAUAGCAAACAGAAAUGAUAAAGACAAAUAUUCUCUACUGGACGGUGGUGUGGUAGCUCAGUUAUAGAGAACUUGCCUAGCGUUCACGAGGCCUGGAAUUCAAUCCCCAGCAUCUCACAAACCAAGUGUUCCUGUAAGACCUGCAUUGGGGAGGUAGAGGCAGGAGGAUCAAGAGUUCAAGGCCAUUCUCAGAUAUAGAGAAAAUUUGAGGCCAGCUUGGGCUAUAAGAAACCCAAUCAACAAAGAAAGAAAGAAAGAAAGAAAGAAAGAAAGAAAGAAAGAGAGA
rnacentral:lncRNA from 1 species